GACAGAGGGUGCAAACGUUGUUCGGAAUUACUGGGCGUAAAGCGCGUGUAGGCGGCUCUGCAAGUCGGAUGUGAAAUCCCACGGCUCAACCAUGGAAGUGCAUUCGAAACUGCAGGGCUAGAGUUCUGGAGAGGAAGGUGGAAUGCUUGGUGUAGAGGUGAAAUUCGUAGAUAUCAAGCGGAACACCGGUGGCGAAGGCGGCCUUCUGGACAGUAACUGACGCUGAGGUGCGAAAGCGUGGGGAGCAAACAGG
rnacentral:rRNA from 1 species